rnacentral:rRNA from 1 species
UGGGGAAUCUUGCGCAAUGGACGAAAGUCUGACGCAGCGACGCCGCGUGGGUGAUGAAGGCCUUCGGGUUGUAAAGCCCUGUGGGGAGAGACGAAUAAGUUUCGGUUAAUACCCGAAGCGAUGACGGUAUCUCCUUAGCAAGCACCGGCUAACUCUGUGCCAGCAGCCGCGGUAAGACAGAGGGUGCAAACGUUGUUCGGAAUUACUGGGCGUAAAGCGCGUGUAGGCGGCCAAGCAAGUCGGAUGUGAAAGCCCUCGGCUCAACCGGGGAAGUGCACUCGAAACUGCAUGGCUAGAGUCUCGGAGAGGAUCGUGGAAUUCUCGGUGUAGAGGUGAAAUUCGUAGAUAUCGAGAGGAACACCGGUGGCGAAGGCGGCGAUCUGGACGAUGACUGACGCUGAGACGCGAAAGCGUGGGGAGCAAACAGGAUUAGAUACCCCGGUAGUCC